rnacentral:rRNA from 1 species
CGGACGGGUGAGUAACACGUGGAUAACCUACCUAUAAGACUGGGAUAACUUCGGGAAACCGGAGCUAAUACCGGAUAAUAUAUUGAACCGCAUGGUUCAAUGGUGAAAGACGGUUUUGCUGUCACUUAUAGAUGGAUCCGCGCCGCAUUAGCUAGUUGGUAAGGUAACGGCUUACCAAUGCAACGAUGCGUAGCCGACCUGAGAGGGUGAUCGGCCACACUGGAACUGAGACACGGUCCAGACUCCUACGGGAGGCAGCAGCC